AUUGAACGCUGGCGGCAUGCCUUACACAUGCAAGUCAAACGGCAGCACGGGAGCAAUCCUGGUGGCGAGUGGCGGACGGGUGAGUAAUACAUCGGAACGUGCCCAAUCGUGGGGGAUAACUACGCGAAAGCGUAGCUAAUACCGCAUACGAUCUACGGAUGAAAGCAGGGGAUCGCAAGACCUUGCGCGAAUGGAGCGGCCGAUGGCAGAUUAGGAGUUGGUGAGGUAAAGGCUCACCAAGCCUUCGAUCUGUAGCUGGUCUGAGAGGACGACCAGCCACACUGGGACUGAGACACGGCCCAGACUCCUACGGGAGGCAGCAGUGGGGAAUUUUGGACAAUGGGCGCAAGCCUGAUCCAGCCAUGCCGCGUGCAGGAUGAAGGCCUUGGUU
rnacentral:rRNA from 1 species